AGAGACUUUCAUAUGUGCAUGUGAAGCGGAUCAAGAAUCAGCUUUGAUUUGGCUAAGAAAUGAGAUGGCUUAGUAGGUAUGAUAUUUGUGUCUUUACCUUCCACUCAACCAUAUUCACUUGGGCCUUUAUAUUCCAAUCUAAUUGUUCCAUUUGUUUGGACAGGUUUGGGUGAUCAAUCGGUGAUGCUUAGCACAUCUGGAGGUUUCUUAUUUUGAACUGACAUGCUUAGUUCUAAAGUGGUGUUUCUUCUUAGCACAUCUGUUCUAUCUCUUAGCUGUUGAAGAUGU
rnacentral:lncRNA from 1 species